CCCGCUGAACUUAAGCAUAUCAAUAAGCGGAGGAAAAGAAACCAACAGGGAUUACCUCAGUAACGGCGAGUGAAGCGGUAACAGCUCAAAUUUGAAAGCUGCCAACAGGCCGCGUUGUAAUUUGUAGAAGCUGCUUUGGGUGUCGGCCCGGUCUAAGUUCCUUGGAACAGGACGUCAUAGAGGGUGAGAAUCCCGUAUGUGAUCGGUGCCGUUGCCCGUGUAAAGCGCUUUCGACGAGUCGAGUUGUUUGGGAAUGCAGCUCAAAAUGGGUGGUAAAUUUCAUCUAAAGCUAAAUAUUGGCCAGAGACCGAUAGCGCACAAGUAGAGUGAUCGAAAGAUGAAAAGCACUUUGGAAAGAGAGUUAAACAGUACGUGAAAUUGUUGAAAGGGAAGCGCUUGCAACCAGACUUGCGGGCGGUCGAUCAUCCGAGGUUCUCCCCGGUGCACUCGAUCGUUCUCAGGCCAGCAUCGGUUUCCGGGGUGGGAUAAAGGCGGUGGGAAUGUGGCUCUUCGGAGUGUUAUAGCCCACCGUGCAAUGCCGCCACUGGGGACCGAGGACCGCGCUUCGGCUAGGAUGCUGGCGUAAUGGCUUUAAUCGACCCGUCUUGAAACACGG
rnacentral:rRNA from 1 species